rfam:Loxodonta africana unplaced genomic scaffold scaffold_6, whole genome shotgun sequence.
GCAUUGGUGGUUUAGUGGUAGAACUCUCGCCUUCCAUGCAGGAGACUCAGGUUUGAUUCCUGGCCAAUGCA